rnacentral:rRNA from 1 species
UACGGAGGGUGCAAGCGUUAUCCGGAUUUACUGGGUUUAAAGGGUGCGUAGGUGGGUCUGUAAGUCAGUGGUGAAAUCUCCGGGCUUAACCCGGAAACUGCCAUUGAUACUAUAGAUCUUGAAUAUUCUGGAGGUGAGCGGAAUAUGUCAUGUAGCGGUGAAAUGCUUAGAUAUGACAUAGAACACCAAUUGCGAAGGCAGCUCACUACGGGAUUAUUGACACUGAGGCACGAAAGCGUGGGGAUCAAACAGG